UAGGGAAUCUUCCGCAAUGGACGCAAGUCUGACGGAGCAACGCCGCGUGAGUGAAGAAGGAUUUCGGCUCGUAAAACUCUGUUGUUAGAGAAGAACAGCGCAUAGAGUAACUGUUAUGCGUGUGACGGUAUCUAACCAGAAAGCCACGGCUAACUACGUGCCAGCAGCCGCGGUAAUACGUAGGUGGCAAGCGUUGUCCGGAUUUAUUGGGCGUAAAGCGAGCGCAGGCGGUUAGAUAAGUCUGAAGUUAAAGGCAGUGGCUCAACCAUUGUAGGCUUUGGAAACUGUUUAACUUGAGUGCAGAAGGGGAGAGUGGAAUUCCAUGUGUAGCGGUGAAAUGCGUAGAUAUAUGGAGGAACACCGGUGGCGAAAGCGGCUCUCUGGUCUGUAACUGACGCUGAGGCUCGAAAGCGUGGGGAGCGAACAGG
rnacentral:rRNA from 1 species